UAUAGAGAUUCUUCAGCUGAUAGUUAAAGAGGUUACUGGUGAAAAAGCCGAUCGCCAUAAAUCAUCCCACGGCUUUCUCUCAGCACUUAAAUGGGGCCAUCACUGAUUUGGAUCUAUCACGACUGUAUAUCCUUGUAUUCUCUUAUGCUCUGGUUUAUCCCUCUAAGGUGCCUUCUUGUUUAAUUUCUAGUUAAUUCGGGCCCUGCCCUCUUUUGUAUCCAAAAAAUAAUAAUAAUAAUUUUAACACACUAUACAAAUGAAAAGUUAAUCGAAUUAUCAUUUCCUUGCAUUAGGGAGGUGGAUGAUGAUAGAUUUGGAAAUGCACAUUAGAAACAUUGUUGUUCGUUCCAUUUUUUGAAUGAUAGUUGCAAUUUCUAUUCCGAAAAA